UGCUGAACUGCAAGGAAAGUGCUCCCUCAUGCUGACAGAUAAAAUUGGUUAAUGCUGAGAAAUUAAUUUCCUGCUUUAGCUGAGCAUUGUUUCCCAUGCCUCAGCAUCGCUCUGUGUUCUCUCCAAAGGUGCUGGAUACGGCUCUGGCACCCCCUUCCCAUCCACCUAUGGGGUCUUGCUCAGUUUGGAGCAGCAGAACUGUUUCAGAUCAGGUUCCCUCUCAGACAGUGUGUUGUUUUCGCAUGGUGCUGUAGCUGGUUUGGAUUGGCAGAAACUCAUGGAUAUUUUUUUUUCUCUCUGCAGUUUGGUAUUCACAGCACAGUGUCAGCCCUGGAGAUACCUUGGGUGGUGCUGAGUGUUGGAGAGAUCCUGCAGACCUGCUGCAGAGACCAGACUGAUAAAGUCUCCAGGCCUCUUGAUGAGGUGGAUCGUGGUGGGACAGUGCCUUUUUGCAAAAGCAGGGUCAGACAGAGAGCAGGAAGCUUUCCUCAUGGCUUCGUGUGAUGCAAUACCCCAGCUGGUGUUUGCACUGAGACCAAAAAAGUGAAUAUGCACCCCUUGGAGUCUGAUAUGAGGGAAUUUGUCAGUGGAUAACAGCUAAAGUUGUGCAUUAGAGGAAGACACUAGGAGAGAAUGAUUACAAACAAGACUCUGAGGUAACCCAUCAUCCCAUGCCUUGUAGGAGAAGGAUGGAGACAACUGAUAUGGGAAGAGCAAAGCUGUUGACUGUUUCCAGGACCUGUGAUUCACAGCUGGGAGCAGGACCCUGUCCUAUCUGUGGUACUGCAGACACGGCUCCACACGAGCUGGCACCUGAAAUCCCAACAGGUAGCACCAAGUUCUCUGCUCAUCUUUGCCAUGUCCCUUCCUGUCGAGGAUCAUUUCUCUGGGCCCCUGGAUGAACGUGACGAGGGAUGACACUUUGUAAAAGCCAUUUUGUAGCUGGUCAGAAUGGCCCUGGGAUGGAGGUCUCCACAGCUGAGGAUGGGAAUGCUGUCAGCCUGGAAGGCAAUUUUUCCAACAAGUUGAUUUAUGGAAUUGGCUGGCAAAGCCUUGAAUACAUUGAGAAAUACAACUUCUACAAUGGACCAACACAUCCUUAAGGAAUGAAUGGUUCCUCUUUAAACUAGGAGCUGUGCUCCUGGCUGCUCUGAGCACCUUGGGAAUGGAGGAGGAUUAGGACCAGGCUGUGAACUGUGGUGUUUGUCCUGCUGUGUAAACCUGUACUGUAAAAACUUGUCCAGAGGCUGAACUGAGAGGGCUGUGAAGCCACCAACUCUGGCUGCUCCUGCCACCAGCUCUGCCCGACCACAGCACUCUCACCAGCUCACCCAGCACAGGGGAUCGAAGGGACCCAGUGCCAAAACCCAGGAGAGUUCUUCACUGGGACCUGCCCUGGAGUAAUUUCUUUGGAUCAGGGAGAAAAGUCCAAGUUUUUACACUGACUGGAAGUUCUUGUGAAAUGUUGAGUCGGAAACAUGGGAGAGACCUGACCCAAGUGGACCACUUAUUCUAAAUGGCAGAAAGGGAGAAAAAGGCAAGCAGAAUUCCCAAAUCAUAUGGAGGAGCCACUGCAUGAAUCCAGAGG